rnacentral:rRNA from 1 species
UACGUAGGGACCAAGCGUUGUUCGGAUUUACUGGGCGUAAAGGGCGCGUAGGCGGCUUAACAAGUCACUUGUGAAAUCUCCGGGCUUAACUCGGAACGGCCAAGUGAAACUGUUAUGCUAGAGUGCAGAAGGGGCAAUCGGAAUUCUUGGUGUAGCGGUGAAAUGCGUAGAUAUCAAGAGGAACACCUGAGGUGAAGACGGGUUGCUGGGCUGACACUGACGCUGAGUGCGCGAAAGCCAGGGGAGCAAACGGG